AUACUAUGGCUUAAGUGGUUGACAAAGAUUGGCAGUACAUAGACGCAAUGAGGAUGACAAGAAAGCUACUGCUUUGAAAGAGGAAGAAAGUGAGCUGGAGGAACUGGGGUACCUUCAUUGAGCUGAGAGGGGUCUAAAAAUUGGGAUUCAUUUCUGAGCAGCUGCUGGCAUGUCAGAGGCUUGGAAUCGGCCUGGUAAAUCUAAAACUGUCUCAGCAGUGGUUAGCUGACCUCACCCAAGUUCCAAGCCUUACUCUGCUUGAUCCUUUUUUCUUGAGCCUCAGAGCUAAAAUGCUCCUGAGCUCCUUCUGAUUGGUUGAGAAGACCAAUUGAAGUUCCCUUGCCCAUGUUAGGAGGUGUACGCCUCCUGAACUAAAGAUAGAAACAGCUGGCCCUUCCAGGCAGCUAAAAGCCUCCGGACUAAGAGGUGUUUCCCACUCGGCAGCCAGACUCCUUGAAAUACCCUUUGAGUAAUUCUACCAACGUCCUCCAUGUCUCUAUUCUGCCAUAACAAAGGCUGUGGGCAGCACUUUGACCCCAAUGCAAACCUUCCUGAUUCCUGUUGCCAUCACCCUGGGGUCCCAAUCUUCCAUGAUGCACUUAAGGGUUGGUCCUGCUGCCGGAAGCGAACUGCAGAUUUCUCUGAGUUCUUAAACAUCAAGGGCUGUACUGUGGGACCACACUGUGCUGAGAAGCUCCCUGAGGCCCCUCAACCUGAGGUGCCUGCCACAAGCAGUUCACUUCAGGAGCAAAAACCUCUGAAUACGAUUCCAAAGUCAGCAGAGACUUUGCGUCGGGAGAGGCCCAAGUCAGAGUUACCUCCAAAGCUGCUUCCACUAAAUAUAUCCCAAGCCCUGGAAAUGGCAUUGGAACAGAAGGAAUUAGACCAAGAACCUGGAGCAGGACUUGACAGUAGUCUGAUCCGGAGUGGUUCCAGCUGCCAGAAUCCAGGAUGUGAUGCUGUUUACCAAAGCCCUGAGAGUGAUGCUACUCCAUGUACCUACCACCCAGGAGCACCUCGAUUCCAUGAGGGGAUGAAGUCCUGGAGCUGCUGUGGCAUCCAGACCCUGGAUUUUGGGGCAUUCCUGGCACAGCCAGGAUGCAGAGUUGGUAGGCAUGACUGGGGAAAGCAGCUGCCAGCAUCUUGCCGUCAUGAUUGGCACCAGACAGAUUCCUUAGUAGUGGUGACUGUGUAUGGCCAGAUUCCACUUCCUGCGUUCAAUUGGGUGAAGGCCAGUCAAACUGAGCUUCAUGUCCACAUUGUCUUUGAUGGUAACCGUGUGUUCCAAGCACAGAUGAAGCUCUGGGGGGAGACCAGCAACUACCCAGAAUUCCUGGAGAGGAUGAAGGUCUUGCUGGUCUACAAAGUGAUAACAUAUUUAACAUACCAUUGCAUCAGCUCCAGGAUUAAGGGAGAUUGUAUCCACUUGCUGAUGGAAUAAAGUCUCAUGUAUAGAAUGCCACGGUGCUCACCACUUCUACUCACAUUAUUUUACUUAAUCUUCACACCUGCCUUGUGAGCUCAGGUCAUGAUCUCACAGUCACAAGAUGGAACCCUGUGUCAGGCUCUGCCCUGACAGCGUGGAACCUGCUUAAGAUUCUCUCUCUCCCUCUCUGCCCAUCCCCUGCUUGCAUGUGCACGCAUACACUCUCUCUAUAAAUAUAUAAAUAAACAUUAAAAAAUAUUCUUGAUAUGUUCUGACUUAAAGGUGAAUGCCCCUUAUAUCUCAUCAUUGAGUAUGAUGAUUUUAGUUGUCACCUAUACUCUGUAUCAAGUUAUAAAUUCUCCUGUUCCUAGCCUACUGAGAAAAUAUUUUUAAGGUAUUACAAACACAAGUGAAAAAAUUCAAAUAGUACAAAAGGGUAUGUGAAGAGUUGCCAUCUCUGUUCCCCAGUUUCCCAGUUCCCUUAAUGAGAAGUAAUUCCUAUUAACAAUUUUUAUGUGAACUACCAGAGAUAAAUCAAUGCAAAUACAAGAAUAUAUGCAAAAAAAUAUAUAAGUUGAUGUUAUUUUUUUACACAAAGAGUGUCAUACUAUAAACACUUUCUAAACACUGAUUUCUUUUUUGUUGGUAAAUCAGCUGUCAGUUGUUUUGUUGUAGGUAAUCUAUCUUUCUAGCUCUGUUUUUUCCUACUUUAAUUAUGGAAUAUUUCAAACAUACAAGAGUAAAAGAGAAUAGUAUAGUAAAUCCCCAUGUACCUGUCACCCAGAUUCAUGGCCAGUCUUGUUUCAUCUAUAUUCCCCUAACCCUUGCUCUCCUAUCUGCACCACCAAGAUUAUUCUGAAACAAAUAUCAUACAUCAUAUUAUUUCAUUUUACCCAUAAAUAUUUUGGUAUGUAUCUCUAAAAUAUAAGGACUUUUCUUAAACGUUACAAUAAAACCACCACCUCUAAAAAAUUAACAAUUCUUGUUUUUGUCUUUUCAAAUUUUUAUUUAAAUUCCAGACAGUUAACACACAGUGCAAUAUUAGCUUCAGGAGUAGAAUUCAGUGAUUCAUCACUUACAUACAACACACAGUGCUCAUCAUAACAAGUGCCCUCCUCAAUACCCAUCACCCAUCUAGGCCAUCCCUCACCCACCUCCCUCUAUCAACCCUCAGUUUUUUCUCUAUCUUUAAGAGUCUCUUAUGGUUUGUUUCCCUCUCUCUUUUUUCUCCCCCCCAUAUGUUCAUCUCUUUUGUUUCUUAAAUUCCACAUAUGAGUGAAAUCAUACAGUAUUUGUCUUUCUCUGACUGACUUAAUUUUGCUUAGCACAAUAUACUCUAGUUUCAUCCACAUUGUUGCAAAUGGCAAGCUUUCAUUCUUUUUGAUGCCUGAGUAAUACUCCAUUGUGUAUAUAUAUACCACAUCUUCUUUGUCCAUUCAUCAGUCUAUGGAAAUUUGAGCUCUUUCCAUUGUUUGGCUAUUGUUGAUAAUGAAAAUUAACAAUUCUUUUAAUAUCAUCACAUGUGCAGUCACUAUUCACAUUGUCCUGGUUGUCUCAUGAACGUUUAUAUGUUUAGUUUGUUGUCAAGGAUUUUCAGGAUCCAAAUGAGGACUAUACACUGCAAUUGGUUAUGUUUCUUUUCUUUUAAAUUUUUUUUAACGUUUAUGUAUUUUUGAGGGACAGAGACAUAGCAUGAGUUGGGGAGGAGCAGAGAGAGGGAGACACAGAAUCCAAGCAGGCCCCAGGCUCCAAGCUGUCAGCACAGAGCCCGACAUGGGACUCAAACCCAUGAAUCGUGAGAUCGUGACCUGAGCCAAAGUCAGAGGCUUAACUGACUGGGCCACCUAGUCACCCUUGUAUUUAUUUAUUUUUUAAUGUUUUAUUUCUUUUUGGCAGAGAGAGAGGGAGACACAAAAUCUGAAGCAGGCUUCAGGCCCUAAGGUGUCAGCACAGAGCCCACACAGAGUUUGAACCCAUGAACUACGAUAUCAUGACCUGAGCCAAAAUCAGACGCUUAGACAACUGAGCCACCCAGGAGCCCAUGUUUUAUUUAUUUUUGAGGGAGACAGAGUGCGAGUGGGACAGAGAGAGAGAGGGAGACAGAGGAUCCUAAGCGGGCUCUGUUGACAGCAGUGAACCCAAUAUGGAGCUUGAACUCACAAACCACGAGAUCAUGACCUGAGCCGAAGUCGGAGGCCUAACUGACCGAGCCACCCAG